rnacentral:piRNA from 1 species
UAGAAUUCUGAUGAAAAGUGCAGUUGGAA